CAGCAGGCAGAUCCAAUUUUCUGCCACCGAAUACAUUAGCAUGGGAUAAUGGAAUAGGACCCUGUCCUCCUAUUUUCAGUUGGUUUUGGCAGCGCGAGGACUAGGGUAAUGAUUAAUAGGGAUAGUUGGGGGCAUUAAUAUUUAAUUGUCAGAGGUGAAAUUCUUGGAUUUAUGAAAGAUUAACUUCUGCGAAAGCAUCUGCCAAGGAUGUUUUCAUUAAUCAAGAACGAAAGUUAGGGGAUCGAAGACGAUCAGAUACCGUCGUAGUCUUAACCAUAAACGAUGCCGACCAGCGAUUAGGAGACGUUGAAUACAAAACACCACCAUCGGCGCGGUCGUCCUUGGCGUCUCGGUUUCGGCCGGGGCGCGGGGACGGCUUAGCCCGGUGGCACCGGUGAAUGACUCCCCU
rnacentral:rRNA from 1 species